UUAAUAUCAGACACUUAACAAAGUGAGUGAAAUUAGUGUAGUUACUGAUAACUCAGUUUUAAUGUGAAUCUACAUUUACAGCUAUGAGUUUGCCUUAAUGUUUAUUGUUUUGACCAAGUGUUCGACUAAAAUGUUUAGAUAUUUAUGUGUGGCCGGGUGGGAAAACAUUUUUUAUUAAUGCCACUAGAGGGCACUUUUGCGCUAUGUUAAUCCCCUGAGGGCGCAAGGACUUUUGGGUAAUGAUUUCAUGAGAGACGACUUUUUUUUCACUCGAUGCACACGUGGAGUGUUCUCAGGUGGACAUUGCCAGCACUUUUGAAGAUCAAUACACUUCCUGUCAUGAUUCCACGCCCACCAGUGUGAUUACAUCCCGCCCUCAUUACUUUCACCUGUGCUCAAUUUGCCACACCUGCAGUUUAGUCUCUCAUUAAUCUUGUUGGUUCUGACUUCAGCUUAGUGUUUUCGAUACCUUUGCAUUUUUCUGACCACCGAACCUUUUGUACAAGUGAACCAAUAUCGCUCUUAACUCCCUGCGUCUGAGUCCACUUCCUUCUUCAGUUGUUACAAUAGUAGGGCUACAGAAGUCAACUAUACUGUGAUGUGUUUGCAGUUCAGUUUGUAUACUGGAUGUUACUGUGAAAUAAGGAAUUCUCAGGUAUUUAAUGUAAACUUGUAUGUCAGGAUGUCGGUUGUUUGAACUAGAAGGGCAAAUCACCAUUCUAUGAAGACCAUCAAGGUCUCUUUUAUGAACAAACACCAUCAUCACAAUACCUCAAAGCAAGGUAUUGCGUAGAGCUGCAACUAAUGAUUAUUUUCAUAAUUGAUUCAUCUGUCGAUUAUUUUCUCGAUUAAUUGAUGAAUCGUUUGGUCCAUAAAAUAUCAGAAAACCUUAAAAAAAUGUUGAUCGGUGUUAGUCAAACCUGGAAAUGAUGUUCUUUGUUACCCAGAGCAAAGAAAUGAAGAAAAUAGUCACGUUUAAGAAGCUUAAACAAUCAGAAAUCUUCAAACCGAUUAUCAAAAGUUGUUGAUUAAUUUAGUCAUCAAUUAAUUGUUUCAGGUCUAGUAUUGUGUCAACCUAAGGAUUGUGGGGACAAACCAACUAAUUAAGGACAAACAAAGGGUUAACCAAUAACAUUAAUUAGGGUUGUGCUGUUGUUUUAGAAGUUCACACUAAGAAAACUGACACUUGCGUAGUUCUGUAUGUGCUGUACAUAUUGCAGAUACAGCAUGCAGACCUACUUGGGCUCUCCUGCUUUCACUCCUGGAUGCUUUGUAUAUGUGUGGGAAUGUGUGCCAGGUGCAGACUUGAAGGCCAUAGGGCACAGAGGACAUUUGUAGAAGAUCUCACAUUUGCCUACAGGCCAGGAAAUGUUACCUCCACCCUCCCUGGAAGUCCUCUCUUGCUGCCAGCUCUCCAGAAAACUGCGCAUACCCUACACAUCACCUUUUUCACCCAUUGCCCUGUGGCAAGCCUUACAGUUCCUUUGAAACCUGCACCACCAGAUCCAGUAACGGUGUCUUUCCCUGGGCCUUAAGCAACACACGAGAGGAACCAACAUGUUUAGCUUGUUGAAUUAAUAAACUGUGAUGCUGAGCAGGAGUGAGUGAUAUUUUUUGUCAUAUUUACAAAUGAAAUUGCACCGUGUCUGGAAGAGUUGUGUUUUUGCUCCGAGACAAAGAGCAUAAACAUAACUCGGUGAAUCUUGUGUUUUGCACUUUUUAUUUGUCACCACAUGGUGUGCCAGUGUACACAAUACAUACAACACAGUCUGUAAGGUGUUUUGUUUUUGUUUUUGUGCUUGCUUAUUGUGUGAACUGCAGGGUUCCUGCCUUGAGAUAAUAUACAGUAUGUUAUUUGGUGCUAUGCAAAUAAAACUGAAUUGAAUUAACUGAAUCCAGAAAAUAAUGCAACAUGUUUUUGAUAGUAAAAUAAUCAUUUUUUAAGGACAAAAACAUGUUCCAAAAACUUAAGUCUCAAGUAUUUAAUGUGACCUACUCUUACACUUGAACA